AGAAUGAACGUUGGCGGCGUGGAUUAGGCAUGCAAGUCGAACGGACCUGGUUUUCGGAUCAGGUCAGUGGCGUAAGGGUGAGUAAUGCGACGGCAACCAACCCCAUGGUUGGGCAUAACCGCGGGAAGCUGCGGAUAAUACCCAGCGAUGUUCGUAUCGGGCAUCCGGUGCGAACCAAAGUUUCGGCGCCGUGGGACGGGCCGUCGUGGUAUUAGGUAGUUGGCGGGGUAAUGGCCCACCAAGCCUCUGAUGCCUACCGGGCGUGCGAGCGUGGCCCGGCACACUGGGACUGAGACACUGCCCAGACUCCUACGGGAGGCUGCAGUCGAGAAUCUUCGGCAAUGGGCGAAAGCCUGACCGAGCGACGCCGCGUGGAGGAUGGAAGGCCUUCGGGUUGUAAACUCCUGGUCGAGGGGGAGAAGGCGCAAGCUUGACCUAUCCCUGGAGAAGCACGGGCUAAGUCGUGCCAGCAGCCG
rnacentral:rRNA from 1 species